rnacentral:rRNA from 1 species
CACGUAGGGGCAAGCGUUGGUCCGGAUUUAUUGGGCGUAAAGAGCUCGUAGGCGGUUCGGUAAGUCGGGUGUGAAACCUCCAGGCUCAACCUGGAGAUGCCACCUGAUACUGCUGUGACUCGAGUCCGGUAGGGGAGCGUGGAAGUUCCUGGUGUAGCGGUGAAAUGCGCAGAUAUCAGGAGGAACACCAGCGGCGAAGGCGGCGCCUCUGGGCCGGAACUGACGCUGAGGUGACGAAAGCGUGGG